rnacentral:rRNA from 1 species
UACGUAGGGUGCGAGCGUUAAUCGGAAUUACUGGGCGUAAAGCGUGCGCAGGCGGUUUUGUAAGCCAGAUGUGAAAUCCCCGGGCUUAACCUGGGAAUGGCAUUUGGGACUGCAAGGCUUGAGUGCGGCAGAGGAGACUGGAAUUCCUGGUGUAGCAGUGAAAUGCGUAGAUAUCAGGAGGAACACCGAUGGCGAAGGCAGGUCUCUGGGCUGACACAUGACGCUCAUGCACGAAAGCGUGGGGAGCAAACAGG